rnacentral:tRNA from 1 species
GGGGUUGUGGCUCAGUGGUAGAGUACUCGCCUAGCAUGUGUGAGGCACUGUGUUCAAUUCUCAGAACCACA